AUGUUGGCACGCAUUCGGGUGGCGGACAGAAGGAUCCACCUGCCAGAUAUCAGUGAUACACUGCUGCUGCAGCUUUCUAACAUCAAGGAAUAUGAUGUGCGGGAUGUGCGAGAGAAGGGAGCCACCCGUGUGGACUGGAUGCCCACCAUCAGUGCUGCUUUUAUCAGUAGCUCCAGGGUUUACCUCAUUGGCCACAGCUUCUCCCCAGCUUCAGGGCUGGAUCACGCAGCCUCUUGGGCGGCUGCCUUGUUCUCCGCGUGGCUGGCCCUUCAGCCAGGGACCAGGACCCUGCGUGCUUUCUGUACCUCUGUGUCUCUGGCCACCCGCUCCAUGAUACCAAGCCCACAUACAGCAGACAGAACACCCAGAUAUAAAAGACUGCUGAGAAGAAAGGCACUACCUCCUAGGGUGGAGAAAAUGACUGUUGACCAAGAUUGGCCUAGUGUUUAUCCUGUUGCAGCACCAUUUAAACCCUCUGCUGUGCCUCUUCCCAUUCGAAUGGGCUAUCCAGUAAAAAGGGAGGUGUGCAUGGCAAAGGAGGGAAAUCUAGAACUAUUAAAGAUCCCCAAUUUUCUGCAUUUAACUUCUGUAGCAAUUAAAAAGCACCGUGAAACUCUUAAAGAUUUCUACACUGAGUGGCCAGCUGCACUGGACGGUGAUGAGAAAUGUGAGAAGCAUUUUUCCAUUGAAAUGGACACAACUGAUUAAGUUUCAGCAGGACCAUUUGAAACCCCAAAGCAUGAGUAGUAACCUUAAGGGUUAAACUUUCCAGUUUGAAUUUAGAUGAUCAUGCAAAGAAGAAACUCAUUAAACUUGUGGGAGAGCGAUACUGCAAGACUACAGAUGUACUUACCAGCAAAACAAACAGUUGCCCUUUAAAGAGACAGAAAUAUGAUUAUGCACUAUAUCUGCUAACAGUUUUAUACCAUGAGUCAUGGAAAACUGAAGAAUGGGAGAAAGAUAAGACUGAAGCAGACAUGGAAGAGUAUGUAUGGAACGAUAGCUCCUCUGAAAAAAAUAUUCUGGAAACACUUCUCCAAAUGAAAGCUGCUGAGAAAAAUCUGGAAGUAAAUAAAGAAGAGCUCCUUGCUACAAAAGAAGUUGAAGAGUACAAAAAGUCUGUUGUUAAUCUUAAGAAUGAAGGGGACAAUGAAAAUACCCUUUCUCAGCACAAAGAAUCAGUAAAGGAACUAUUAAAUCUAAUGCGAUUUAUUUAG